rnacentral:rRNA from 1 species
GUAGGGAAUAUUGGACAAUGGGGGGAACCCUGAUCCAGCCAUGCCGCGUGGAGGAAGACUGCCCUCUGGGUUGUAAACUCCUUUUAUAUGGGAAGAACCGUCCUCAUUAAUGAGUGACCUGACGGUACCAUAGGAAUAAGCACCGGCUAACUCCGUGCCAGCAGCCGCGGUAAUACGGAGGGUGCAAGCGUUAUCCGGAUUCACUGGGUGUAAAGGGUGCGUAGGCGGAUAAAUAAGUCAGUGGUGAAAUCAACGGGCUCAACCUGUUAACUGCCAUUGAUACUGUGUAUCUUGAAUAUGAGAGAGGUAGGCGGAAUGUUGCAUGUAGCGGUGAAAUGCUUAGAUAUGCUACGGAACACCGAUUGCGAAGGCAGCUUACUAUUUCGUAAUUGACGCUGAGGCACGAAAGCGUGGGUAGCGAACAGGAUUAGAAACCCCUGUAGUCC